rnacentral:rRNA from 1 species
UGGGGGAUAUUGCACAAUGGGCGAAAGCCUGAUGCAGCGACGCCGCGUGGGGGAUGAAGGCUUUCGGGUUGUAAACCUCUUUCGCUAUCGAACAAGGCCCGCUUAGGGUGGGUUGAGGGUAGGUGGAGAAGAAGCGCCGGCUAACUACGUGCCAGCAGCCGCGGUAAUACGUAGGGCGCGAGCGUUGUCCGGAAUUAUUGGGCGUAAAGGGCUUGUAGGCGGCUUGUUGCGCCUGCUGUGAAAACGCGGGGCUUAACUUCGCGCGUGCAGUGGGUACGGGCAGGCGUGAGUGUGGUAGGGGUGACUGGAAUUCCAGGUGUAGCGGAGGAAUGCGCAGAUAUCUGGAGGAACACCGAUGGCGAAGGCAGGUCACUGGGCCAUUACUGACGCUGAGGAGCGAAAGCAUGGGUAGCGAACAGG